rnacentral:lncRNA from 1 species
GGUGCAGACGUGAGAGAGCGCGAGGAGUCAAUGGGGGACACGGGCUGGGAACUGUGGUGCGCUUAGGGGAUUCUCGCCGUGCCUGUACGAGGCUUGUGGUCAACGUCCGCGAUUGCUGGCGUUGUAAUGCGUUCGUGGGGAAGUGGAGUGUUCGUGGGGGUUGAGGUGGUGUUGUAGUAUUAGGGUACAGGGAGGGGGGCUCGACGUGGAGCUGUUUUUUUUCGGGCUUUGGUCGUGUGGGAGAGUGUGGAGCAAAAUGAAGUGGAGCGGCUGAGGGAAGCAGGCCGGGGGCUGUGCGCGGGAGGUUCCUCGCUCUGAGCAGUUAGAACACAACGAAGGAACUUUUACACGUUAGGGUGCGUGUGUGGUACGGUGAGGAGGACCAAAGACCAUAGAAACUGGCGGACUCGCAGCGCAGAGCGGUGGGAGGAAGGCGAUGGGUUUUCCGCGUUUCAGCGCGCAUGCGUGUCACUGCCUGGAGGACCAAACACCAUAGAAAUUGGCGGGCUUGCGGCGCAGAGCGUUCAGAACAGGGAGGUGCGGUGCUUUAUUGGGGGCGGCAGAGCGGGGAAACGGUGCCCUUUCUCUGGGGAUACUCAGAACCUGCGUGGAUGCAGUCCUGUGCAGCGUGUUCCCACAGGUUAUAGCAGAUCCAUCAAGUGAUUACGCAGCCUUUGCCCAGACAGACCUUUUUUCCCCUGAAGUGACCACGUAUUACAAGUUAAUUACAGGCAGUAUUCUCAUGACUAAUUAUUUACCAUCAAAAGACAGGCUUUUUUGAGACCGAACCCCUACUGUCUCAAAGUUAAUAGGAGAAACCUCUUUAAUUAGUCGUUAUUAUCUACGUGGACCGUAUCUGCAUAUAAUUAGACAUCUCAGCACAUCAGUAUAGGCUGUGGGAACAGCCAGCUGUGUUAUUUUGUUAUUAAAAUCUGCUUCUGAGGGAUGUCUGCAGGGAGUUCCCAUAGGACAGGUCCCUUGUGGGUCUUUCUGCUGAGCCUGAGCUAGCAGGGACAGGGAGUUUAGCAAUUAAAUAUAUUUCCCUAUUGGGUCUUCUUGAUGUGAUCCCAUAUAGGAUAUCAGUGUGAUGGGUUAUAAUGCUAAACAUGACACGGUCCUUUUCCCUUCUCUUUUGGCACUGUUCAUAAAGCACAACAGCAUCACAGAGCACCACUGCUGAUUCAGUGUGGCCUUGAUGUGCACCGGCCUUUCCUGUGUGGUGUGAAGAAGAAGCCUGCAAUACCUCAGCUUCCAAGAGAUAAGGCCUCACAUCUUGCACACAGCAUCCAAAUAACCUUUUCAAAAGCAUUACUGGUGGGACACACAUGCAUUUCAGGGCCUAUGGAGAAGAAGCUUGUCAGUUUAUCCAGUCUUUUUCAAUAGGCUCCCAGCUCAGUCUGACAGCAAGCAGUAUUCCCAGUCUUACGGCAAUUAGAGAAGAGAAAUAUCCUUUGUGUUAGCGUUUUUCAUUCUGCUGGCCAGAAAGUUUGUUCCAAGUGUUGAAGACAAAAACAAAGCCUUCAUUGAGGCUAAUGGGGAGAGUGCCUCAUUCAUGACAGAAGGCAAAAAGGAAUUGGGAAGAUAAUAUGACAUUUUGCAGGCAUGCGAGUCUCAUUGAAUAGCAGUGUAAGAGCACUUUUCUGAGCACUAUCCAGCACUAUCCAUAGGAACUGCUCUGCAGUCCGUACACAAAUGUCUGUGCCAAUCUGAAGCAGCUAUUCUGUCAGUAAUUACAAAGUAAACACACAGCUGUGACACAUCCAGAUACCACUGGCUGCAUCCAAGUGUCCAUCGUACAGAAGCACUCUUGAGGCACUCUCAGGCACAGAAGUUUUUUAGUUCCUAAAGGUCAGUGUUGAUAGCUUCGUUUCACUGUUCUGCACUGAGGACAUUUUCCAUGCAAAGCUCUGGUGUUGUCGGGUAGUUUGGUACAGAACAGUUCUCCCAGCUAUAGAAGUAAUGGUUCACUUCUUUCUGCUCCAAACCAGCUGUGACAUGGCCUUCAAACAACAGAAUCCACAUCAUAAAAUUAAUUAUGCUUGAUAUUGUGUAAGACAGAAUUCUCUAGAUCAUCACAGCUUUCGGUGUAGAAUGAGAGCUGUUUGUCAGUAGGCCACAUUUCUGCUUCUGAAUAUUUUCAGAGUUACAUCUGGAAUUAAUUACAAAAGGUGGUUCUGGCAUGAAAAAAAUAAAAAGGCUUUGUAAAUUAACUUGUGAUUCAGUGAGCCUGAGGCAGAGUAAUCAGGAUGAAUGUACCUCAGGUGGUGUCUUCAGCUCCUCCAUCUCUGCUGAUACAGGUACUUUUCAUAGGAGGUGUGGAAGAAAUGUGAGAAAGAGGUGUCUUAGAUGAGAGGAGACGACUGGACUAUGUGGAUCAAGGGAGAAGAUUCCCUGUCAGUAGGCUGCUUCCUUUCAUGAUGGAAUGCACUUGUUGUUUUGAGCACCAGCAAACAGGAAAUUAGAGAAAGUGAACUGGAC